rnacentral:rRNA from 1 species
AUUGAACGCUGGCGGCAGGCCUAACACAUGCAAGUCGAGCGGAGCGGCGGACGGGUGAGUAAUGCCUAGGAAUCUGCCUGGUAGUGGGGGAUAACGUCCGGAAACGGGCGCUAAUACCGCAUACUAUCAGAUGAGCCUAGGUCGGAUUAGCUAGUUGGUGGGGUAAAGGCCUACCAAGGCGACGAUCCGUAACUGGUCUGAGAGGAUGAUCAGUCACAAUGGAACUGAGACACGGCCCAGAAUACUACGGACGGCAGCAGUGGGGAAUCUUCCGCAAUGGACGAAAGUCUUACGGAGCAACGCAGCGUGAGUGAGGACGGCCUUCUGGUUGUAAAGCUAUGUUAAUCGGGACGCGGGACCGGAAGAGAAAGCCACGGCUAACUACGUGCCAGAAGCCGCGGUAAUAC